AUCACAAGGUGAAACUCAGGGCACAUGCAGCACUGGAAGCCCUAUCCCAAGCCAGCACAUUCUUCGCCGAUCCUGUCACCUCCCCAGAUGGUGCCACACGGGAAGCUGGUGCUCUGCCCCUGCAGAAGCAACAAGAUGACAGCGUCUCAAAAGAACAGAAGGCCAUGAUCCCACGGAGAUUUAACAGCAUUACCUGCAGCCUUGGCGACCUUGCUCAAUCUGCCAGGACUGUGUUAUCCCCAGAAAUGUAAGCCAGAGGUAUUUCAGAUAGACCUGAUGUUACGAGUCGUAUAAAAGAGGUAGCCCGUGGUACAAGAUGCUAGUCAAUAGCUACAAUUUAUUAAGUGCCAACCACACACCAGCUACCUCACCACCCUACAUCUGUAUAAGCCCCUUUUUCUCUCUCUCCCCAUUUGGUAAUUUGGGCAAGCCGUUGACUGUGGGUGACUGAAACCACACAGAAUGAAACCGCAGAUAAAGAGGACUACUGUCAUGGCAAAUCAGAACCUGGAGCAGAGGGAGUACUGACUACAAUCAAGGGGAUCAAUCUAGCCUCCUCCAAA